UAUUAUUAAGUGUGUAAAUGUUAAUGUUGGAGUAGUAGUUGAUAUGAUCUUGAAACUCAAAGAAUUUGGCGGUGUUUUAGUCUUUUCAGAGGAAUCUGCCCUGUAAUUGAUAGUACACGAUUUUUGUGACUUGAUUUUGUUAUCAGUUUAUAUAUCGCCGUCAGUAAGAUUAUCUUGUGGAGAGUAAUAAAUUUCUUUAUAUUUAAUUUUAUGUUAUGUCAGGUCAAGGUUUAGCUAAUAAUUAAGUAGUGGUGGAUUACAAUAAAUGUAUUUAAUAUGGAUGAUGAUUCUAAUAAUUAUUUGAAAGUGGAUUUGAUUGUAAAUUAAUAAGGAUUUAUUUGUUGAUUAUGGCUCUAGAAUGUGCACAUAUCGCCCGUCGCUCUCAUUUUAAUUUGAG
rnacentral:rRNA from 1 species